rnacentral:rRNA from 1 species
UGGGGAAUUUUGGACAAUGGGGGCAACCCUGAUCCAGCCAUCCCGCGUGUGCGAUGAAGGCCUUCGGGUUGUAAAGCACUUUUGGCAGGGAAGAAACGGCGCUGGUUAAUACCUGGCGCACCUGACGGUACCUGCAGAAUAAGCACCGGCUAACUACGUGCCAGCAGCCGCGGUAAUACGUAGGGUGCAAGCGUUAAUCGGAAUUACUGGGCGUAAAGCGUGCGCAGGCGGUUCGGCAAGAAGGAUGUGAAAUCCCAGGGCUUAACCUUGGAACUGCAUUCUUAACUGGCGGGCUAGAGUAUGUCAGAGGGGGGUAGAAUUCCACGUGUAGCAGUGAAAUGCGUAGAGAUGUGGAGGAAUACCGAUGGCGAAGGCAGCCCCCUGGGAUAAUACUGACGCUCAUGCACGAAAGCGUGGGGAGCAAACAGG